AUGCACGCUGGCGGCGUGCCUCAUACAUGCAAGUCGCGCGCACGGACGAGAAGCUUGCUUCUCUGAUGUUAGCGGCGGACGGGUGAGUAACACGUGGAUAACCUACCUAUAAGACUGGGAUAACUUCGGGAAACCGGAGCUAAUACCGGAUAAUAUUUUGAACCGCAUGGUUCAAAAGUGAAAGACGGUCUUGCUGUCACUUAUAGAUGGAUCCGCGCUGCAUUAGCUAGUUGGUAAGGUAACGGCUUACCAAGGCAACGAUGCAUAGCCGACCUGAGAGGGUGAUCGGCCACACUGGAACUGAGACACGGUCCAGACUCCUACGGGAGGCAGCAGUAGGGAAUCUUCCGCAAUGGGCGAAAGCCUGACGGUGCAACGCCGCGUGAGUGAUGAAGGUCUUCGGAUCGUAAAACUCUGUUAUUAGGGAAGAACAUAUGUGUAAGUAACUGUGCACAUCUUGACGGUACCUAAUCAGAAAGCCACGGCUAACUACGUG
rnacentral:rRNA from 1 species